GAUGAACGCUGGCGGCGUGCCUAAUACAUGCCAGUCGAGCGAACAGAUGAGGAGCUUGUUCCUCUGACGUUAGCGGCGGACGGGUGAGUAACACGUGGAUAACCUACCUAUAAGACUGGGAUAACUUCGGGAAACCGGAGCUAAUACCGGAUAAUAUAUUGAACCGCAUGGUUCAAUAGUGAAAGACGGUUUUGCUGUCACUUAUAGAUGGAUCCGCGCCGCAUUAGCUAGUUGGUAAGGUAACGGCUUACCAAGGCAACGAUGCGUAGCCGACCUGAGAGGGUGAUCGGCCACACUGGAACUGAGACACGGUCCAGACUCCUACGGGAGGCAGCAGUAGGGAAUCUUCCGCAAUGGGCGAAAGCCUGACGGAGCAACGCCGCGUGAGUGAUGAAGGUCUUCGGAUCGUAAAACUCUGUUAUUAGGGAAGAACAAAUGUGUAAGUAACUAUGCACGUCUUGACGGUACCUAAUCAGAAAGCCACGGCUAACUACGUG
rnacentral:rRNA from 1 species